AUUGAACGCUGGCGGCAGGCCUAACACAUGCAAGUCGAACGGUAACAGGAAGCAGCUUGCUGCUUUGCUGACGAGUGGCGGACGGGUGAGUAAUGUCUGGGAAACUGCCCGAUGGAGGGGGAUAACUACUGGAAACGGUAGCUAAUACCGCAUAACUUCGCAAGACCAAAGAGGGGGACCUUAGGGCCUCUUGCCAUCGGAUGUGCCCAGAUGGGAUUAGCUAGUAGGUGGGGUAACGGCUCACCUAGGCGACGAUCCCUAGCUGGUCUGAGAGGAUGACCAGCCACACUGGAACUGAGACACGGUCCAGACUCCUACGGGAGGCAGCAGUGGGGAAUAUUGCACAAUGGGCGCAAGCCUGAUGCAGCCAUGCCGCGUGUAUGAAGAAGGCCUUCGGGUUGUAAAGUACUUUCAGCGGGGAGGAAGGGAGUAAAGUUAAUACCUUUGCUCAUUGACGUUACCCGAAGAAGAAGCACCGGCUAACUCCGUG
rnacentral:rRNA from 1 species